UACGUAGGGUGCGAGCGUUAAUCGGAAUUACUGGGCGUAAAGCGUGCGCAGGCGGGUUUUUAAGCCAGACGUGAAAUCCCCGGGCUUAACCUGGGAAUGGCGUUUGGGACUGGAAGUCUGGAGUGCGGCAGAGGAGACUGGAAUUCCUGGUGUAGCAGUGAAAUGCGUAGAUAUCAGGAGGAACACCGAUGGCGAAGGCAGGUCUCUGGGCUGAAACUGACGCUGAGGAGCGAAAGCAUGGGUAGCGAACAGG
rnacentral:rRNA from 1 species